GUGUGUUGAUGUGUUACUGAAGGGUGACACACCACUUCAAGGGGCAGCAGCAGCAAUAUCGGGAUCUACAGAGCGUGUUGAUGUGUUACUAAAGGCUGGAGCUGAUGUUAAUGCACAGAA
rnacentral:lncRNA from 1 species